AGGAGCCAUAUGAGGGGAAACUUUCACGUAUGGUAUGACAGGAGAGGUGCCCUCCUUAAUCGGAGGCAUCGACUCUAAC
rnacentral:ncRNA from 1 species